UACGAAGGGGGCUAGCGUUGCUCGGAAUCACUGGGCGUAAAGCGCACGUAGGCGGAUCGUUAAGUCAGGGGUGAAAUCCUGGGGCUCAACCUCAGAACUGCCCUUGAUACUGGCGAUCUCGAGUUCGAGAGAGGUUGGUGGAACUCCGAGUGUAGAGGUGAAAUUCGUAGAUAUUCGGAAGAACACCAGUGGCGAAGGCGGCCAACUGGCUCGAUACUGACGCUGAGGUGCGAAAGCGUGGGGAGCAAACAGG
rnacentral:rRNA from 2 species